GUGCCAGCCGCCGCGGUAAUACAUAGGGGGCGAGCGUUAUCCGGAAUUACUGGGCGUAAAGGGUGCGUAGGCGGUUUCUUAAGUCUAGUGUGAAAGCCCACGGCUUAACCGUGGAGGGUCAUUAGAAACUGGGAGACUUGAGUACAGCAGAGGUAAGUGGAAUUUCUAGUGGAGCGGUGAAAUGCGUAGAUAUUAGAAGGAACACCAGUGGCGAAGGCGGCUUACUGGGCUGGAACUGACGCUGAGGCACGAAAGCGUGGGGAGCAAACAGGAUUAGAUACCCUGGUAGUCCACGCCGUAAACGAUGAGCACUAAGUAUCGGGUGAGAACUCGGUGCUGCAGUUAACGCAUUAAGUGCUCCGCCUGGGGAGUACGGUCGCAAGACUGAAACUCAAAUGAAUUGACGG
rnacentral:rRNA from 1 species